rnacentral:tRNA from 1 species
UCCCCAGUGGUCCAGUGGUUAGGACACCAUGCUUUCACUGCUGAGAGUGCAGGUUGGAUCCUUGGCUGGGGAA